GACAGAGGGGGCAAGCGUUGCUCGGAAUUACUGGGCGUAAAGGGCGCGUAGGCGGAAUGGCAAGUCGGUCGUGAAAUCCUUCGGCUCAACCGAAGAACGUCGAUCGAAACUGCCGUUCUUGAGGAUUGCAGAGGAGACUGGAAUUCCCGGUGUAGCGGUGAAAUGUGUAGAGAUCGGGAGGAACACCGGCGGCGAAGGCGGCUGCCUGGACCAGUCCUGACGCUGAGGCGCGAAAGCUAGGGGAGCAAACAGG
rnacentral:rRNA from 1 species